rnacentral:rRNA from 1 species
GACGAACGCUGGCGGCGUGCCUAACACAUGCAAGUCGAGCGAAUGAAGUUCCUUCGGGAAUGGAUUUAGCGGCGGACGGGUGAGUAACACGUGGGCAACCUGCCUCCUUGAGGGGAAUAGCCUUCCGAAAGGGAGAUUAAUACCGCAUAAGAUUGUAGUAUCGCAUGAUACAGCAAUUAAAGGAGCAAUCCGCUAUGAGAUGGGACCGCGGCGCAUUAGCUAGUUGGUGAGGUAAUGGCUCACCAAGGCGACGAUGCGUAGCCGACCUGAGAGGGUGAUCGGCCACAUUGGGACUGAGACGCGGUCGAGACUCCUACGGGAGGCAGCAGUGGGGAAUAUUGCACAAUGGGGGAAACCCUGAUGCAGCAACGCCGCGUGAGUGAUGACGGCCUUCGGGUUGUAAAGCUCUGUCUUCAGGGACGAUAAUGACGGUACCUGAGGAGGAAGCCACGGCUAACUACGUG